AACGAACGCUGGCGGCAGGCCUAACACAUGCAAGUCGAACGCCGUAGCAAUACGGAGUGGCAGACGGGUGAGUAACACGUGGGAACAUACCCUUCGGUUCGGAAUAACUCAGGGAAACUUGAGCUAAUACCGGAUACGUCCGCGAGGAGAAAGAUUCAUCGCCGGAGGAUUGGCCCGCGUCUGAUUAGCUUGUUGGUGAGGUAACGGCUCACCAAGGCGACGAUCAGUAGCUGGUCUGAGAGGAUGAUCAGCCACAUUGGGACUGAGACACGGCCCAAACUCCUACGGGAGGCAGCAGUGGGGAAUAUUGGACAAUGGGCGCAAGCCUGAUCCAGCCAUGCCGCGUGAGUGAUGAAGGCCCUAGGGUUGUAAAGCUCUUUUACCCGGGAAGAUAAUGACUGUACCGGGAGAAUAAGCCCCGGCUAACUUCGUGCCAGCAGCCGCCGCGGUAAU
rnacentral:rRNA from 1 species